GCUGGUCUCUGCCCUUCUGAUAAGUGCUUUGCGGUCAGGCCACUAGUCAGUGUCCCGUGGGGUUUGCAGUAGCAGCAUCCCCCUCCCUGGCCUCAAAGUCCAUCCACUGCGAUAGGUUUGCUUAUGUCACGUUCACAAGCCACCCCAGCGUCUCCAGCUUAAAGCCACAGCUUGUUCUCACUCGCACUGCAUGGCAGGGGUUGGCUGAGUUUCUCUCUUCCGUCUUUGCUUCAGGACCCAGGCUGAUGGAAUGACUGCUGCCUAGAACAUUGCAGGUCUUCCCAGAUGAGACACAGAGGCUCUGGAGGGUCGUGCAAUAAUACUGCCUCACCGGAAGCUGAGCCUGGUACACGCAGAGCCCACAGGACACCCACAAGAGUCACAUACCUGCCAUUGACCACCUCUGGGCUUUUAAUACCGAAACUUCAAAGAACUUAUGUGUCUCUCAUUACACUUGCUAGCAAUAUUUAUACAGGAACAUGUUGUAUUUAUAUCCCCAAAAAUCAGUAAGAGAAUUUUAACAAAACCAUGUAUGGGAAAAGUCUUAAGUCACAUUUCAGAAACAAUGUGUAGUGGUUGUAAUAACAUGGGGGCAUUUUGCAAAGUUUGAGAACCAACAAAGAGGCGUGCGCACAGCCAGGGUGGGGCUGGGGCUCCUGCAGAGAGAUUUGCUCCACCCUGCGUUCAGGACGCCACCUGCACGAAAUGUUAAGUUCACCUGCGUGUCGUGUGUGUUACUGGCAUACACGCUUCCCUGGUUUAUAGUAACAUUGUAAUUUUUCUCAUUUUUUAAAAGUAAUCCCAGCACUUUGGGAGGCCGAGGCGGGCGGAUCACGAGGUCAGGAGAUCGAGACCAUCCUGGCUAACACGGUGAAACCCCGUCUCUCCUAAAAAUACAAAAAAU
rnacentral:lncRNA from 1 species